AGCUUGGCGUUGAUUACGUCCCUGCCCUUUGUACACACCGCCCGUCGCUCCUACCGAUUGAGUGAUCCGGUGAGCUGUCCGGACUGCGAUUAGUUCAGUUUCUGUUCUCUUCGCGGGAAGUUCUGCAAACCUUAUCACUUAGAGGAAGGAGAAGUCGUAACAAGGUUUCCGUAGGUGAACCUGCGGAAGGAUCAUUC
rnacentral:ncRNA from 1 species